CCCUUCUCAGGGUCGCACCUGGAGACUUUCUAGUACUCUACCAGUCUCGACUAUGAGGGGGAGAGUCAAGCAGAGGCACAACCAUUCCAUUCCUAGCUUGGGCAGUGGCUAGCGAGUGGAAAGCAAUCUGUUACAAGU